GAAGGGAGGAACGAAAUAGGGGGGCUCGUUCAUCUUGUGCAAGUUGCUGAGAGGAGACCAGCUGUCAUUGAAGGGACGAGACAUAAAUAGGGAACAUCGAUUCAAAGUACAUGCAGGCAAGAAAGUUCCCUCAAAGGUGUGGAAGUCCCCACAUACAAUACUGAAGACUUGUUGAUAGAUGAAAGUCCUCGUGUCUUGUUCCCCAUUGUUUCUGAUGAUCCCCUUCAGGAUGUUGGCCAAAUUGAAUCGGGCCCACCUCUGUGAUGUCAUUCUCUUUUUAAGGAAGAAUUACUUGAAACAGGAAGCGGGAUCAUACUGUUUACCGAACAUGGUGUACUGUACUUCUGUGUGGUGGUGAUCCAGAAACCUUUCUAGUCCAACGACAAUUCUGCACUACGUAAAUUUUGCCAAGAUGUGCCAAGUGGGCUGGAAUCAAGAUUGUGAAGCGAAAGUACUAAGGUCUCCUCCCUCCAGAUCACAGCAGCAUUGUUGUCUGUCCAAUGAGGAAUAUGAUAAGCCUGCUUUUGAGCCUCUUAUCGUGCUUCUACGUAUCUGAUCACAAGAAGGCAGGCAAGGAGAAUUCACCUUCCCAUUCAAGAGCACAUUUCCUUUUGAGAUGAAUUUUUAACCAGUCUCCUAUCUGUUGGCUUUGAUUUUGUCAAUGGUUAUCAUGUGUAAGUUAUGCAUAAUUUAUUUAAAUUUAAGUUUAUGUUAACUUGUGUUUAUCCUCGUCUUGUAAUGUAGUGUGCUUCUACCAAAAGCUGAUUUUCAUGGCAUUUAUACCCUGCUUAUGUAUGCCUAUGACGACAAUACACUUGAACUUGAUCUGGAAAUGGGAAAAUGAGCUCAUGAGCAACAA